rnacentral:rRNA from 1 species
AUUGAACGCUGGCGGCAGGCCUAACACAUGCAAGUCGAACGAGUGGCGGACGGGUGAGUAAUGUCUGGGAAACUGCCUGAUGGAGGGGGAUAACUACUGGAAACGGUAGCUAAUACCGCAUACCAUCGGAUGUGCCCAGAUGGGAUUAGCUAGUAGGUGGGGUAAAGGCUCACCUAGGCGACGAUCCCUAGCUGGUCUGAGAGGAUGACCAGCCGCACGGGAAGGGGGACACGGUCCAGACUCCUACGGGAGGGAGCAGUGGGGAAUAUGGCACAAUGGGCGCAAACCUGAUGCAGCCAUGCCGAGUGUAAUGAGAAGGCCUUCGGGUUGUAAAGUACUUUCAGCGGGGAGGCGUUACCCGCAGAAGAAGCACCGGCUAACUCCGUGCCAGCAGCCGCGGUAAUUC